AAUAAGUAUCGGCAACAGCACAUCUUUUCUCACCAACUACUUCGUAGUACCACAUAAAUGACUCUGGAGCGAUGGGUUCACCAACACUACCCAAGACACGAAGAGAAGAGCGAUCGUGCUUGACAAAUUCAUUACCGGCACGUUGAAGAAGACGAAUGGCAGUUGGUGCAAUAUACCAUUGAGUCAGUCUGUGACGCUCAACGACACUCCAGUAACGAGAGUAAUCAGGGUAAGCUGGUGUGCUUUCAAAAACAAGAGUAGCAGCACCAAGCAUUAAGGGGCCGUAUACAAUAUAGGUAUGACCAGUAAUCCAACCGACAUCACCAGCACAACCCAUACGAUCCGUGGGAUGCAAAUCGAAAACGUAUUUGCAAGUAGCAGCAGCGCCAAGAAGGUAACCACCAGUGCAAUGUACGACACCCUUGGGUUUUCCUGUACUUCCAGAAGUGUAGAGAAGGAACAAGGGAUGCUCUGGAUUAACGACUGCAGGAGGGCAAUACCGGGGGAACUUUGGAAUAAUAUCGUGCCACCAGACAUCACGACCUUCAACCAUACUGGCGGUAGGCUCAGCAGAGCGUUGGAAGACGAGUACCUUCUUGAUGGUAGGACAUUCGGUAAGGGCUUUGUUAACGACACCCUUUAAAGGGAUUCGUUUACCACCACGAUGACUUUCAUCAGCGGUAAUGAUAACUUUACACUCAGAAUCAUUGACACGGUCUGCAACAGACUCUGCAGAAAAACCAGCAAAAAUAACAGAAUGAAUGGCACCCAAACGAACAAUGGCCAACAUGGCAAUGAUUGUUUCAGGAAUCAUAGGCAUAUAGAUGGCAACACGAUCUCCCAUACCAACGCCCAUGGACUGGAGAGCACCGGCACAUUGAGAAACGGAAGCCAAAAGCUCGCGAUAGGUGAUAUAGCGACCCUGAUUGGGCUCAUCAGCUUCAUAAAUCAAGGCAACGGCGUCUGGGCGAGCAAUGGCAUGACGAUCGACUAAAUUAUAACAAGGGGAAAUGGCACCAUCAGCGAACCAAGCACUAUCUGCCUUGUCGAUGGAACCUUGGACGACAGUGCUGAAUUGUUUGUCCCAAGUCAUCAUGUCGCGAGCCAUGUUACCCCAAAAAGUGGAUGGGUCAUUAAUUGACUCUUCAUACAUACGUUUAUACUCAUCCAAACUAGCAAUGUUAGGUUUAGGGACGGUGGGAUCGCCAUGAAGACGAACCGGAGGUUCUAUAAUGAGUGUGUGAUCGACAGGAUUUUUCGUCAUCAUAAAAAA